AUUGAACGCUGGCGGCAGGCCUAACACAUGCAAGUCGAGCGGAGCGGCGGACGGGUGAGUAAUGCCUAGGAAUCUGCCUGGUAGUGGGGGAUAAGGUCCGGAAACGGGCGCUAAUACCGCAUACUAUCAGAUGAGCCUAGGGCGGAUUAGCUAGUUGGUGGGGUAAAGGCCUACCAAGGCGACGAUCCGUAACUGGUCUGAGAGGAUGAACAGUCACACUGGGACUGAGACACGGUCCAGACUCCUACGGGAGGCAGCAGUGGGGAAUAUUGGACAAUGGUGGAAAGCCUGAUCCAGCCAUGCCGCGUGUGUGAAGAAGGUCUUCGGAUUGUAAAGCGCUUUAAGUAGGGAGGCGUUACCAACAGAAUAAGCACCGGCUAACUACGUGCCAGCAGCCGCGGUAAUUC
rnacentral:rRNA from 1 species